GCCGCUGUAGCUCCAGAUCUCUGUCCCUGCCUUCCCAUUCCGCUCAUAUUUCCUUAAUCUCUGUGUGUAGGCGUCCUUUUAAAGCCAAAUCAAACCCAAUCAGUAAAUGAAUUCUUUAUGUAUCGAUCAAUGAAUAUAUAUUUAGAGAGUAUAUAAAAAUGAAGCAAUGUCGAAGCCUCGCUUAUGUCUCACUAAAAGCAGAUAAAUGCUCUAAUCAGAGCUUCUCUCCUCUCUUACUUCGAUGUUUGUCCCUUUCCC
rnacentral:misc_RNA from 1 species